UACAGAGGUCUCAAGCGUUGUUCGGAUUCAUUGGGCGUAAAGGGUUGCGUAGGCGGCGCGGUAAGUCGGGUGUGAAAUCUUGGAGCUUAACUCCGAAACUGCAUUCGAUACUGCCGUGCUUGAGGACUGGAGAGGAGACUGGAAUUUACGGUGUAGCGGUGAAAUGCGUAGAUAUCGUAAGGAAGACCAGUGGCGAAGGCGGGUCUCUGGACAGUUCCUGACGCUGAGGCACGAAGGCCCAGGGAGCAAACGGGG
rnacentral:rRNA from 1 species